rnacentral:rRNA from 1 species
AAACCAGCACCUCAAGUGGUCAGGAUGAUUAUUGGGCCUAAAGCAUCCGUAGCCGACUCUGUAAGUUUUCGGUUAAAUCUGUACGCUCAACGUACAGGCUGCCGGGAAUACUGCAGAGCUAGGGAGUGGGAGAGGUAGACGGUACUCGGGAGGAAGUGGUAAAAUGCUUUGAUCUCUCGAUGACCACCUGUGGCGAAGGCGGUCUACCAGAACACGUCCGACGGUGAGGGAUGAAAGCUGGGGGAGCAAACCGGAUUAGAAACCCGAGUAGUCC